rnacentral:rRNA from 1 species
UACGUAGGGCGCAAGCGUUGUCCGGAAUUAUUGGGCGUAAAGAGCUCGUAGGCGGUUUGUCGCGUCUGCCGUGAAAGCCCGGGGCUUAACUCCGGGUCUGCGGUGGAUACGGGCAGACUAGAGGCAGGUAGGGGUAGAGGGAAUUUCCAGUGGAGCGGUGAAAUGCGUAGAUAUUGGAAAGACCACCGAUGGCGAAGGCACUCUACUGGGCCAUUACUGACACUGAGAGACGAAAGCUAGGGGAGCAAAUGGG